UGGCUACGUAGUUCAGUUUGGUUAGAGCACAUCACUCAUAAUGAUGGGGUCACAGGUUCGAAUCCCGUCGUAGCCACCAU
rnacentral:tRNA from 1 species